CUCAGAUGUUAAGUCCCAUAGUGAUCAGAGCCAUUUGAACCAUUUGAUAGCAUCACUAACUUCGUUUCCGGUUGUGACCCACUAAAUUGUAGAACACAAAAACUUCCACAUCUGCAUCUCCAUAUCUGCAAGGACACAUAAGUGUUCUGCAACAUACUAGAUCCUCAGGAUGUCUGUCUGACUUUUCGCAACUGGUUCGUUCGACUAUGUCAUCGCACAGCCACAGCAGCUACUGUCUGCAGCCCAAAGAGCUCUAAUCACAUGCUAGACCAGGACAUGGAGGUGUUCCACAAGCAACAGCAGCAGUCUUCUACAUUGCGUAUACUUGGACUCAAAGCAAGCAGAAAGGAAUGUAGUAUGACAAUGAGUGCUUCUAGUUUAUUGUUACUGUACAUUGACAAUAUACAUAUGUAAAUAAAACAUGUACUAUA